UUGUGGCUGCUCAGUGGUAGAGUGCUCACCUAGCACAUGUGAGGCACUGGGUUCAAUCCCCAGCACCACAAG
rnacentral:tRNA from 1 species